rnacentral:rRNA from 1 species
AGUGAACGCUGGCGGUAGGCCUAACACAUGCAAGUCGAACGGCAGCACAGGAGAGCUUGCUCUCUGGGUGGCGAGUGGCGGACGGGUGAGGAAUACAUCGGAAUCUACUUUUUCGUGGGGGAUAACGUAGGGAAACUUACGCUAAUACCGCAUACGACCUACGGGUGAAAGCAGGGGAUCUUCGGACCUUGCGCGAUUGAAUGAGCCGAUGUCGGAUUAGCUAGUUGGCGGGGUAAAGGCCCACCAAGGCGACGAUCCGUAGCUGGUCUGAGAGGAUGAUCAGCCACACUGGAACUGAGAAACGGUCCAGACUCCUACGGGAGGCAGCAGUGGGGAAUAUUGGACAAUGGGCGCAAGCCUGAUCCAGCCAUACCGCGUGAGUGAAGAAGGCCUUCGGGUUGUAAAGCCCUUUUGUUGGGAAAGAAAUCCAGCUGGUUAAUACCCGGUUGGGAUGACGGUACCCAAAGAAUAAGCACCGGCUAACUUCGUGCCAGCAGCCGCAGUAA